UUCACUUGGUUACUCGUUCAGCAAUGCUCUACUGAGUGGAAGAGUGAAGUCACUGUAGAAUCCCACCAUGAAUGUCCAACAUCAACUGGGAACCACAUCACAGCUUCAGGAAUGUGAAUGCAAAUUGAUCCAUGUUAGGACAGAAAAAUCAGCUCUUGAAUCCCGAAACAACUGUAUUAGGUUUUCGAUAGAAUCACAAAACACAAUGUCCACUACUCUCUUCCUAGUGAGAUGGAUAUUUUAAUUGAGGGCACAGAGAAUGUUUCAGUGGUGUGUUUUCUGUCCUGGAAGAUGACUCUUGCAUCAUAACGCUCCACAUGCUCCCGACAAAAAUGUGCAAAUGUGCAUGGGCCCAAUCUCCUGAUGACGCUGCCAUUAUCACAUGAGGAAAUUAAACCACCCUGAUUUCCUUGAGAACUUUAGGACAAUAAUCAAAUAUGUG